UUUUUUCCACGCAUGUAGUCGUUUUUCCAAUAAUAUUUCCUUUUUCUCAUACCAUGCACCUUGAAAGUUUGUCUUGUUUUCAUUAUUAUAAGGCGCAUUUCCAAAGGCACAAUAUACGCAUUCGUAUGGAGUGAUUCAAGAUGGCGCACUUUUUGCCAUGAAUUGGUUCGCACAUACAAAUUAGAAAAACGGUAGACUUUAUUAUUACCAGAAAAAAUAGACCGACUUUUCCAAUGAAUGAAAAUGAAAAGAUGAUUGGAUCGCCCCAUUUCUUCAUUUUUUUUUUUUAAUUACAUUAGGAAUGCAAUGAAUAAAAUUGAUUAACGAUUGUAUGAAGUGUAGCUUAUUUGUUCAGAUAGGGUUGUCGCACAGCAACAUUGAGGAUAUAAUGAAUCAUGAGGAGAUGGAAAUGACCCAGAGAUCCACUUAAAGUAGAGCGUUCUUUUUUUUUUUCUUCGCUUUAUGGAAUACAAAGUCUCGUAUACAUCAAGAAGGCGAUUAUUGUGGCAUAUGUGGAUAUUAUAAUAGUAUAGCAGAUAAAUUUGUUAUAUUAUGCAAUAAAGUAUUAGAAUUAAAGAUACCAUAUGAAGGAAAAGGAAUGAGCUGAGGUAUAACAAAGACAGAAAGACUAUAAGCGUGUAGAAGACGUUAUGGAAGUGAGAUGCGAGCAAUAGCACUCUGUGGUAAGUUUGCGAUUCAAAUUGAAACAAGAAAAAAAGCAAUCAUUACUUGAAAUGUGUCGCUUUCAACGCGGCCGAUGGAGAUAAUAGGUAAAGGGAUAAAAAAGAAAGAGUAUUGUGUGAUUCAUAACUAGCAUAAACAUAAAAGAAAAUAAGCAAAAAGAAAGUUUGAUGAAGAUAAAGAUGAAAAGCUAAAAAAAUUGCAAUAACUGAUAUCAACGAACAAAAAGGUAAACAUAGAAACGAAUAUGUAACAAAACCUACAAAAUAAUGAACAACUCUUCCAAAAUCAACAUCUCAACCUACAGUAACACUACUGAACUUAGAAUC